rnacentral:rRNA from 1 species
AUACGAAGGGUGCAAGCGUUACUCGGAAUUACUGGGCGUAAAGCGUGCGUAGGUGGUUGUUUAAGUCUGUCGUGAAAGCCCUGGGCUCAGCCUGGGAAUGGCGAUGGAAACUGGGCGACUAGAGUGUGGCAGAGGGUAGUGGAAUUCCUGGUGUAGCAGUGAAAUGCGUAGAGAUCAGGAGGAACAUCCGUGGCGAAGGCGACUGCCUGGGCCAACACUGACACUGAGGCACGAAAGCGUGGGGAGCAAACAGGAUUAGAUACCCUGGUAGUCCACGCCCUAAACGAUGCGAACUGGAUGUUGGGUGCAAUUUGGCACGCAGUAUCGAAGCUAACGCGUUAAGUUCGCCGCCUGGGGAGUACGGUCGCAAGACUGAAACUCAAAUGAAUUGACGGGG